AUUGAACGCUGGCGGCAUGCCUUACACAUGCAAGUCGAACGGCAGCACGGGUGCUUGCACCUGGUGGCGAGUGGCGAACGGGUGAGUAAUACAUCGGAACGUACCUUAUCGUGGGGGAUAACGCAGCGAAAGUUGCGCUAAUACCGCAUACGCCCUGAGGGGGAAAGCGGGGGACCGUAAGGCCUCGCGCGAUUAGAGCGGCCGAUGUCUGAUUAGCUUGUUGGUGAGGUAAAAGCUCACCAAGGCGAUGAUCAGUAGCUGGUCUGAGAAGACGAUCAGCCACACUGGGACUGAGACACGGCCCAGACUCCUACGGGAGGCAGCAGUGGGGAAUUUUGGACAAUGGGGGCAACCCUGAUCCAGCAAUGCCGCGUGAGUGAAGAAGGCCUUCGGGUUGUAAAGCUCUUUUGUCAGGGAAGAAACAGCAGCUCUAACACAGUCUGCGAAUGACGGUACCUGAAGAAUAAGCACCGGCUAACUGCGUGCCAGCCGCCGCGGUAA
rnacentral:rRNA from 1 species